rnacentral:rRNA from 1 species
UACGAAGGGGCUAGCAUUGCUCGGAAUCACUGGGCGUAAAGGGUGCGUAGGCGGGUCUUUAAGUCAGGGUGAAAUCCUGGAGCUCAACUCCAGAACUGCCUUUGAUACUGAGGAUCUUGAGUUCGGGAGAGGUGAGUGGAACUGCGAGUGUAGAGGUGAAAUUCGUAGAUAUUCGCAAGAACACCAGUGGCGAAGGCGGCUCACUGGCCCGGUACUGACGCUGAGGUGCGAAAGCGUGGGGAGCAAACAGG